rnacentral:rRNA from 1 species
CGUAGUCAACAUGCCCAGGGGACGUGGAUAACCUCGGGAAACUGAGGAUAAACCACGAUAAGUCACUACUUCUGGAAUGGGUAAUGACUCAAAUCUACAUGGCCCCUGGAUUGGACUGCGGCCGAUCAGGCUGUUGGUGAGGUAAUGGCCCACCAAACCUGUAACCGGUACGGGCUCUGAGAGGAGGAGCCCGGAGAUGGGCACUGAGACAAGGGCCCAGGCCCUAUGGGGCGCAGCAGGCGCGAAACCUCUGCAAUAGGCGAAAGCCUGACAGGGUUACUCUGAGUGAUUUCCGUUAAGGAGAUCUUUUGGCACCUCUAAAAAUGGUGCAGGAUAAGGGGUGGGCAAGUCUGGUGUCAGCCGCCGCGGUAAUACCAGCACCCCGAGUGGUCGGGACGUUUAUUGGGCCUAAAGCAUCCGUAGCCGGUUCUACAAGUCUUCCGUUAAAUCCACCUGCUUAACAGAUGGGCUGCGGAAGAUACUAUGGAGCUAGGAGGCGGGAGAGGCAAGCGGUACUCGAUGGGUAGGGGUAAAAUCCGUUGAUCCAUUGAAGACCACCAGUGGCGAAGGCGGCUUGCCAGAACGCGCUCGACGGUGAGGGAUGAAAGCUGGGGGAGCAAACCGGAUUAGAUACCCGGGUAGUCCCAGCUGU